UUCCCGUAAGGGUAAGGCGAGGCUUGCUGGCUCCUCCGCCUGGCUGCAGCAUCCGACGGGAGGGGGAGGAGGGGCUCCAUUGCCAAAUCCCCCUCCCCCCGGGAACCACUCUUUGGCUCUCGUACGGAAGGGGCGCCCAUCUAAGUUGGCCCCGCCGGGAUGCUGGCCAAGUGAGCGGCUGGGUCCGGCAGCAUGCGAGCGGGGAACCGGACCGUCCCGGACGGGCCCCGGCAGCCGGACUCGGACAGGCCCCCUUGGGUGGCGACCGCUUUGGCCGCCAUCCUCAUCUUCACCAUCGUGGUGGACAUCCUGGGCAACCUGCUGGUGAUCCUCUCCGUCUAUCGGAACAAGAAGCUGAGGAACGCGGCCUCCGCCCCCUCCAUGUGACUUUUGUCCAUUCAGGUCCCAUCAUUUCCUGAAUAGCCUUUUCUGGUGAUCAGAGAGGACCCCCUUCUCCAUUUUUCCCCAGUGGAAAAGCUGGUUGGAUCCAACCCAUGGACCAUCAUCACUAGUGAAAUUUCACACCUAUGAAAAGGUGUCGUUUGAACUUCUGCUGGAUGACCUGAGGCAAAGUAGAAGAUGCUUGGAACAUCUAGAACAUCAGAAGUUCAGUUCUCCUCUACAAGACCAGCUAAAAACACACAAAUUCAGGAUCUGGUGGAAAAUGGAUGGACAAUGGGAUGACAAUGAGCACUGACAUUUCAGUCUUGCAAAUAUCAGGUGGCAAAAUGGUAAGCUAAUUGUGUAUGGUGGGAGUGAUGGUAGAAACAUCGGCCUGAUAUGCUGAUUUUUGUCAUCUGCAGACAAAAAUGAAGCCUAAGUUACAUUUUAAAUGCAACUUUAGAUUUAAUUUUAUAUCUCCUGUUCUUUCUGAAACUUGAAGAAUCACUAUAUCCUAUAUUGAACUUCCUAAUGUACAUGCAAUGAAAUAUAACAUUGUCCUAUGACAGUGCUUACAUGAAAAGUGUCUUGAUUUCUCAACUGAUCAUGGGAUGGAUUGUCUUCCUGUAAUGUCUGUAAGGCCUAUCUACCCUUUUUCAUUCCUUCUUUGCUGGGCUGUACUUCUGUUAUUUUUUACGCCUUUGCUGUUCUGCUUUCACAAAUACUCUAUGGACCAUGACCAUUAUGGGACAUGUUAAUGAUAGAAGUGAUAUCAGCAGUGCAUAUGUCUGCUGGGUUUUCCUUGUCAUGGACAGUAUACAUUGUGUGCAUUGCUAGAAUGCAGUUUUUCAGCUAAAGGGAAAAUUAUAUACUUCUAUUCUUAGCAGAUUUUUUUCGUUAUGAUCUUUAUUUCAUUGUCAUGUUGAUCAGGAAUCACCUUGGUUGUUCCAUUCUUUGGUGAAUUGAGAGGGCAGAGGGAGCUGUUUUCUUUUUGAAAGCAUUUUAUUUUUAUUGUAUAUACACAUUUGGUGUUGAUUAUUCUGCCCUUUCCAUUACACUCUGGAAAUUGUUGUUGCAACCCAAAGAAAGAAGUUGCCCAAUCCAGUACAUGAAUGAUUUAUUUCUAGUAAGUAUGCACAGGAUUAAGGCCUUAGUUGCACUUUUAGCCAUUAAAAUAAAGUACUUUUUCCUCUAAAGACAUGGACUUUUCCAGCAAGAGUCUGUGAAGAUGGCAGAUAUCUGAAAAAUAGAUUCCGUUCUUGCUGUCAUUUCAGUAGGUCAUCCUUCAGAGAUUUAUGAAACAUACAAGUUCAAGAACAAAACCAGAAAAUGUAAUCAAAAUCUUCUAACAUUUUCUGUGUAGGUGCAGAAAGACUCGUGUUAAUACAACACUAUUUUCCUCUAAGAAUUACAUUUGCACUAAUGGACAGAAGUUAGUCAUCCUGCUCUUUCCUUUGCAUCUUGUAGAAUUUUGUAUUGAAUCCAAGUUUCUUCCCUUGACGAACAAAACUUGAUGUAGCCUUCUGCCAUUGUUUAAAUAGGAGAUCAUUUACUAACACAGAUGUUGUUUGAAACAAAAAUAACAUUCUGGGUAAAACAUUCACCUCAAAUUCUCCUCAACAGUAGUGAAUUCUGGCCAGGAUCAAUAUAACAGGUGUAGAGCACAGUGCAAACCGUUUGGGGGAGGGGGCUUCUCACAGGUCCCGUCCCCAAAAUGAAUUUGCCCCAUUUUAUUUCCCUCAACCCUGGGAUUUUCAAAAAUUGCUAAACCAGUGAUACUUUUGCAAAAUCCUGGAUUGGAGAUGCUCCUGCAUGAAUGGCGAGGCAAGAGGCUCUUUAUUUCCCUCCCUUCCACCUCCCUUUUCAUUAUGUUUCUUCAAAUAUUCCAAAAUAUCCAAUACAGUUCUAGCAUUGCCCUCUAACUGUCUGUUAUACAAAAAUCAACAUUGAUCUUCAGGAAGGAACUUUUGUAAAACUACUUUCAGUCUAUCGAUUAGCAUUGUUGUUAAUAACUUAUAGUCAUUAUUCAAUGAUAUUUGUGUAUAAUUUCUUGUUAAAGUUAAGUCUCAUCUUUUUUGGGGUAGUAGAGUUAUAUUUGCCUUUUCCCAUGACUCUGGCAUCUUUCUUCCUUGCUGGAUAGAGUUGAUUGUGUUUUAGAAGUUGUAAAAUUUAUCUUCAAAACUCUUAUAAGACAGACCCAAUAAAUCAUCUGGAUCAGGAACCUUUCCUGUUUAAAUAUUUUUUUAUAGCAUCCACCACUUCUCUGGCAGCCCAGUCUGGGGAGUAUGGACCUACCUAUCGAGCUGGUGCAAGGAGCAAAUUGUGCUGGUGAAAGCCCGAUGUGCGGGUGGCUGGGUGCCCCUCAGUCCCACCAUUGCAAAAGCCAGAAGUUCAGCCAUAGUGAGGUUGUCCUGAGAUUGUGUGUCUAAAAUGGUUGUCAGCAUAGGGGCAGGCUGGGGCAUACUUGGGAGGCAGAGCCAACAUUAGUCAGCUCCCAGCCAGGGUUUGCGGCCAGUGGCACUGCAAUCCUGGCCCCUUUGGUGGGGCAGAAUGGCAUUGCAGCAAUGCCGUCCCCAGCCACUUCCCUGGUCUGGAUUGGGCUGUUGUUGUUAUAGUGCCUUUCAUAAUGAGUCUGUAUGCUUUUGUAAUCUUGGGUAAAUUUUGUUUUCUAAGAUAAUCAUCUAUUUUUAUCAGCAAAAUCUCUUGACCUUUAUAUAAAUCCACAUAGUAAUUAUAGAAUAUUUUUAAUUGUCCCAUUAUCUGUUGAAACCUUGGUUCCUUCUUGUAGUUUCAACAUCAUUUUCUUUCUUCUCUCUCAAUUUACAUACUAUGCUGGUUUCUUUGCAAAUUCAAAAAAUUUUUGCUUUACAUAUUUCAAUUUUGUUUCCAUUUCUCGUACCAUUACCAUUGAUAACUGGUUUUGUUAGAUUCUUAUUUGCAUUCUUAGUUCUUUGUGCCUUUUUAAAAAUCAUCCUCUUUUUUAAAAUUCCUUCGAAAACACUAUGUAUUUUCUCUUGUCUCUUUUUCUUAAAUUCACAAUUACGUUGUAUCAAGUGACCUCUAAUAAAUGCUUUACUUGCAUACCAAACU